GGCAUCCGUUGAAAGUUUCAUCAACAGUGGUCACACCGAAAAUUUCAGAGGAAGUUGUCAUCAAUUUUGCCUUCUUUUCUUCAUAAUUUGAAAGUUUGAUCAAGGAUGAUCCGGAAAGGUUUUUCAAAGCAAGCUGUCAUCAAGUCAACUAUCCUUUGUUUCUCCUGUUUUGUUACUCCAUCUCAGUUGUAAGCGGAAAUCGUGUAACGCCUUCACCGAAAUUACAGGCCAUCUGAGCAGUCUAAGUACCCUUCUGCUCAAAGGAGUGACCAAUAAUGAAUUUCUCUUCACAUCAUCAAUACAUUCUCAAGGAGCAAGAUCACGAGAGGUGAAAGAAUUAUCAAAGGUGUCAACUGGUGGGAUAUUAUUCAACAGAUCACCAAAUUAACUAAAACGAUAUGAAAAAUCUAGAUCGUGGAAGUGAAAGGGUUAAAGACAGUUGUAUAUGGCUAAAUAUAUUUGAUGUGAUCAAAACUAUAACAAAAUUCUCGAAUGUGAUUGGUCAUCACCUGUCCGCUUUGAACACUAAUGGGACAGUGUACGCGUCACGUUUAUAAUUGGACAGUGUAAUAGGACAGUUAAAGGGACAGUUAACUCGUCAUGUUUGUUCAAGUGGACAGAACGCGUCAUGUGCGCGCGCUGUUGUCUCGCAUUUCGCCGUGUUACCUGUUGUUAUUUAUGAAAACGUACAACCGAUGUCUGGUUUCUUUCUCAAAUGUUGUCAUAGUUUUGAUUAAUUGGUAACAGGACUUCGUAGAGCAAAAGUCAUAAGGCUGGUUCCCCCAACCUCACAUGCCUAGCUUCCAUGUUAUUCUUCGGCAAGAGGAGUGCCACGUUUUAGCCAUGUCUACCAUAGCAACGUACAUUUUUUAUUAUACAGUGGCUUCAGCAUGUUAAAUUAGUGAUAUAUACACACUAUACACCAUCAAGUGUACUAGUCAUAGGAAAGAGGCAUGUGUGGCCUUGUCAGUUAGUUACAGUAUAUAAUUACAAGGUUUGUGUGUGUUUA